GAAACCGGGGCUAAUACCGGAUAAUAUUUUGAACUGCAUAGUUCGAAAUUGAAAGGCGGCUUCGGCUGUCACUUAUGGAUGGACCCGCGUCGCAUUAGCUAGUUGGUGAGGUAACGGCUCACCAAGGCAACGAUGCGUAGCCGACCUGAGAGGGUGAUCGGCCAAACUGGGACUGAGACACGGCCCAGACUAAUACGGGAGGCAGCAGUAGGGAAUCUUCCGCAAUGGACGAAAGUCUGACGGAGCAACGCCGCGUGAGUGAUGAAGGCUUUCGGGUCGUAAAACUCUGUUGUUAGGGAAGAACAAGUGCUAGUUGAAUAAGCUGGCACCUUGACGGUACCUAACCAGAAAGCCACGGCUAACUACGUGCCAGCAGCCGCGGUAAUACGUAGGUGGCAAGCGUUAUCCGGAAUUAUUGGGCGUAAAGCGCGCGCAGGUGGUUUCUUAAGUCUGAUGUGAAAGCCCACGGCUCAACCGUGGAGGGUCAUUGGAAACUGGGAGACUUGAGUGCAGAAGAGGAAAGUGGAAUUCCAUGUGUAGCGGUGAAAUGCGUAGAGAUAUGGAGGAACACCAGUGGCGAAGGCGACUUUCUGGUCUGUAACUGACACUGAGGCGCGAAAGCGUGGGGGAGCAAACAGGAUUAGAUACCCUGGUAGUCCACGCCGUAAACGAUGAGUGCUAAGUGUUAGAGGGUUUCCGCCUUUUAGUGCUGAAGUUAACCGCAUUAAAGCACUCCCGCCUGGGGGAGUACGGCCCGCAAGGCUUGAAACUCCAAAGGAAUUUGACGGGGGGCCCCGCACAAAGCGGUUGGAAGCAUGGUGGUUUAAUUUCGAAAGCAACCGCGAAAAAACCUUUACCCAGG
rnacentral:rRNA from 1 species